rnacentral:sRNA from 1 species
GUAACAAGGUUUCCGUAGGUGAACCUGCGGAAGGAUCAUUGUUGUUGCCUUCACAAAACAAGACCCGUGCACACGUAAUGCAAAGCUGCUGCGGAGGAACGCAACGUUCUUCUCGGCCCAACCGGCCUCGGCCUUUUGUGUCUUCACGGCAGAAAACGGUCGCGGCAUCGGAAAACGGCGCGGAAUGCCGCCAAGGAAUAUUAGAUUGCUAAGGCAGAUGACCAGYCGCAAGGUGCUGCGUCCUCUGUUGAGGCCAAAGAAGGAAAAACGAGAUGACUCCCGGCAACGGAUAUCUCGGCUCUUGCAUCGAUGAAGAACGUAGCGAAAUGCGAUACGUGGUGUGAAUUGCAGAAUCCCGUGAACCAUCGAGUCUUUGAACGCAAGUUGCGCCCGAGGGAUCAUCCCGAGGGCACGCCUGCCUCAUGGGCGUAAGAAGCCCAUCCACGCUCAGGUGCCCUGCGGGUGUUCCUGAUGCGGACAUUGGCCCUCCGAGCCGUAAGGCUGCGACGGGCUCAAGUAAAAUGGCUAUCGGUUGAGGUCGGGAGCAACGAGUGGUGGGCUACGAGCUAGCGUUCGUUGCUUCUGAACCUCAUGAUGAUGGAUGCCUUCACCGGACCCCAAACGAGCAUAAUGUCGCCGCAGCGUUAUGUUGUGCGUCAUGUUCGGACUAAUAC